rnacentral:rRNA from 1 species
AGUGAACGCUGGCGGUAGGCCUAACACAUGCAAGUCGAACGGCAGCACAGAGGAGCUUGCUCCUUGGGUGGCGAGUGGCGGACGGGUGAGGAAUACACCGGAAUCUACUCUGUCGUGGGGGAUAACGUAGGGAAACUUACGCUAAUACCGCAUACGACCUACGGGUGAAAGCAGGGGACCUUCGGGCCUUGCGCGAUAGAAUGAGCCGAUGUCGGAUUAGCUAGUUGGCGGGGUAAAGGCCCACCAAGGCGACGAUCCGUAGCUGGUCUGAGAGGAUGAUCAGCCACACUGGAGCUGAGACACGGUCCAGACUCCUACGGGAGGCAGCAGUGGGGAAUAUAGGACAAUGGGCGCAAGCCUGAUCCAGCCAUACCGCGUGGGUGAAGAAGGCCUUCGGGUUGUAAAGCCCUUUUGUUGGGAAAGAAAUCCAGCUGGCUAAUACCCGGUUGGGAUGACGGUACCCAAAGAAUAAGCACCGGCUAACUUCGUGCCGGCAGCCGCCGUAA